AUAUCCCUAGCUCUGCAACUAAACUUCUCCGUCAUACUUAUAGUUUUAAACCCUUUAUUUGUUUCUUUCUUAAACCCUUUACUCGAUUCUUUCUUCACCUCCUUCUUCUCUCCGGCUGCAGGGGUCGCCGAAUCAGCCUCAGCCUCCUUUACCGCGGUAGAUUGCCCCUUGGGCGCGACCUUCUUUGCUUCCAAUUCAUCCUUAGCAGGUCCACCCU
rnacentral:misc_RNA from 1 species